rnacentral:misc_RNA from 1 species
CUGCUGGGCCGCGAGCGCGACGCCGCCGACGCGCUGCACGCGGCGCUGGCGCGGAACCCCGACGACGUGGUCGCGCUGGCGCUGCUCGACGCCAUCGUCGACCGCCUCGACGCCGCGCUCACCGAGGAAGAAAUACCCCAGUUUCCGUUCCCCGCUGUCACAUUGGGUCCGCCGCCGGAACAAGAAGCAAAUGAACGUGAUCUCACCGAUAGAGAACUGUCCGACAUGAGCAUGAGCUUCGACUGAAUUAUACACUGGCAAUUUCACGUUCACCCUUAUAAAUCCCAAUUUGGGAUAAACUAUGCCCAAUAUUUCAGACCAUAUCUUCAACUGCCCGACUACCGAGUUUCAGCACAAACGGUUAAAUGGUGGAAGACGACAAACAUCCAAUUUCAUUCAUUUUUUUACGUAAAUUUUGUACAAGUAGAUCACUCACUAAUAAUAAGUAUCUAAUAUCCAGAAGAUGAUUGACCAAUUCAGCCUGUAACAUUAAACUGCAAGGCAACUUAUAUAUUAUUUGCAGUAUAUAUUUUUUUAAAAUUUCAAUAUUACGAUUUUAAGAUCUAUGAUAGUCCCAAACCAUAGUAACACUCUAUACUUUGUAAGCUAAAUCGUUAUUAUUUGUAUUGAAUCUAAUGGUAUAUAGAUAUACUCAUAUAGAUAUAGAUAUAUAACAAAUUAACAAUAUCAAUAAGCAAAUAUUGUUUCGUUUUGGAAACAUUCGACUAAAACAUUACUGUUAACAAUGAAAAAAAAUCUGAAUAUCCUAUGGUUACGAUUAUCUAUUACUAUUAGAAUGAAAAUUAAACACUAAUAAUGACUGUACGUGUAUUGUACGUGUAGAAAAACAAUCAUAUGUAUGUGUACUUAUAAGCUUAUCAUGUGUGAAGUCUUUCAAAGAACUGUAUAACACCAAUUUUCGUUGCAUUUAAUUUGUACAGUGUACAUUUUUAAUUGUAAGAGUAUUGAAUAAAACUUUUCCAUUUAUUUUUUUG